CCCUUAGAUGUUCUGGGCUGCACGCGCGCUACAAUGAUGCACUCAACGAGUCUUUGUCCUUGUCUGAGGAGGCUGGGUACUCUCUUGAGCGUGCAUCGUAACGGGGAUAGACUAUUGUAACUAUUAGUCUUCAACGAGGAAUUCCUUGUAAGCGUGAGUCAUCAGCUCACGCUGAAUACGUCCCUGCCCUUUGUACACACCGCCCGUCGCUCCUACCGAUUGGGUGAUCCGGUGAACUAUUCGGAGCUCCUGUUUGAUUCUAUCAUUCAGAUGGCAAAGUUUCGUGAACCUUAUCACUUAGAGGAAGGAGAANUCGUAACA
rnacentral:rRNA from 1 species